rnacentral:rRNA from 1 species
CGGCCGAUUAGGUAGUUGCUGGGGUAACGUCCCAACAAGCCGAUAAUCGGUACGGGUUGUGAGAGCAAGAGCCCGGAGAUGGAUUCUGAGACACGAAUCCAGGUCCUACGGGGCGCAGCAGGCGCGAAAACUUUACACUGCGCGAAAGCGCGAUAAGGGGACCUCGAGUGCGUGCGCAAAGCGUACGCUUUUCAGAUGCCUAAAAAGCAUCUGGAAUAAGGGCCGGGCAAGACCGGUGCCAGCCGCCGCGGUAACACCGGCGGCUCAAGUGGUGGCCGCUAUUAUUGGGCUUAAAGGGUCCGUAGCCGGACCAGUUAGUCCCUUGGGAAAUCUUACGGCUUAACCGUAAGGCUGCCAAUGGAUACUGCUGGUCUUGGGACCGGGAGAGGCAAGAGGUACCUCAGGGGUAGGAGUGAAAUCCUGUAAUCCUUGAGGGACCGCCAGUGGCGAAGGCGUCUUGCUAGAACGGGUCCGACGGUGAGGGACGAAAGCUAGGGGCACGAACCGGAUUAGAUACCCGGGUAGUCCUAGCCGUAAACGAUGCGAGCUAGGUGUCACGUGGAUUGCGAAUCCAUGUGGUGCCGAAGGGAAACCGUGAAGCUCGCCGCCUGGGAAGUACGGCCGCAAGGCUGAAACUUAAAGGAAUUGGCGGGGGAGCAC